rnacentral:misc_RNA from 1 species
GCUCGUCGUUGGACACGAUGACGGAGCGAUCCGCGUGUGGACGGUGCGAUCCGGAACAUUGCUCGCGUUUGUGCGACCGCACGAGGGGGCCGUGCACGCUCUCGCCACGUUAGACAACGUCGCUCUUCUGCUAAGUGCUUGCACAGAAGGAGUGCUCAAAGUUUUCGAUUUCGAAAAAUUAGCUAGACACGGCACGGAGGGAGGCGCGGGCCCAACGCCUUUGCUAUGGGAAGACGGGGCGCACGACUUGGGCGUGCUGUGCGCGACACCGCUGCAGCGCGGGGCGGCGACGGG